rnacentral:rRNA from 1 species
CCUACGGGGGGCAGCAGUGAGGAAUAUUGGUCAAUGGACGAGAGUCUGAACCAGCCAAGUAGCGUGAAGGAUGACUGCCCUAUGGGUUGUAAACUUCUUUUAUAUGGGAAUAAAAUGUUCCACGUGUGGGAUUUUGUAUGUACCAUAUGAAUAAGGAUCGACUAACUCCGUGCCAGCAGCCGCGGUAAUACGGAGGAUCUGAGCGUUAUCCGGAUUUAUUGGGUUUAAAGGGAGCGUAGGUGGAUUGUUAAGUCAGUUGUGAAAGUUUGCGGCUCAACCGUAAAAUUGCAGUUGAAACUGGCAGUCUUGAGUACAGUAGAGGUAGGCGGAAUUCGUGGUGUAGCGGUGAAAUGCUUAGAUAUCACGAAGAACUCCGAUUGCGAAGGCAGUUCACUGGACUGCAACUGACACUGAGGCUCGAAAGUGUGGGUAUCAAACAGGAUUAGAUACCCGGGUAGUC